rnacentral:rRNA from 1 species
CCUACGGGGUGCAGCAGUAGGGAAUCUUUCACAAUGGGCGAAAGCCUGAUGCAGCAACGCCGCGUGCAGGAUGAAGGCCUUCGGGUUGUAAACUGCCUUUAUAAGCGAGAUAUAUGAUGGUAACUUAUGAAUAUGGAUCGGCUAACUACGUGCCAGCAGCCGCGGUCAUACGUAGGAUCCGAGCAUGAUCCGGAGUGACUGGGUGUAAAGAGUUGUGUAGGGGGCAUAAUAAGUAGCUAGUGAAAUCUGGUGGCUCAACCAUUCAGACUAUUGGCUAAACUGUUAAGCUCGAGACCGUUAGAGGUAACUGGAAUUUCUGGUGUAGGAGUGAAAUCCAUAGAUAUUA